UGAGGAAUAUUGGUCAAUGGGCGGGCGUGCACAACCCAAGCCGCGUGAGGGAAGAAGGCCCUAUGGGUCGUAAACCUCUUUUGUCAGGGAACAAAAGCGAGUAUGUAUACUAGUCCGAGUGUACCUGAAGAAAAAGCAUCGGCUAACUCCGUGCCAGCAGCCGCGGUAAUACGGAGGAUGCGAGCGUUAUCCGGAUUUAUUGGGUUUAAAGGGUGCGUAGGCGGCGAUGCAAGUCAGCGGUAAAAGCCCGGGGCUCAACCCCGGCGAGCCGUUGAAACUGCAGUGCUAGAGAAGGCGAGAGGUACGCGGAAUGCGCAGUGUAGCGGUGAAAUGCUUAGAUAUUGCGCAGAACUCCGAUUGCGAAGGCAGCGUACUGGCGCCUGACUGACGCUGAGGCACGAAAGCGUGGGGGAUCGAACAGGAUUAGAUACC
rnacentral:rRNA from 1 species